rnacentral:tRNA from 1 species
GGCCCCGUAGCCUAGCCUGGAAGGGCGGCGGCCUUCGGAGCCGCAGGUCCCGGGUUCAAAUCCCGGCGGGGCCG